rnacentral:rRNA from 1 species
UACGAAGGGGGCUAGCGUUGCUCGGAAUCACUGGGCGUAAAGGGCGCGUAGGCGGCCAUUCAAGUCGGGGGGUGAAAGCCUGUGGCUCAACCACAGAAUUGCCUUCGAUACUGUUUGGCUUGAGUUUGGUAGAGGUUGGUGGAACUGCGAGUGUAGAGGUGAAAUUCGUAGAUAUUCGCAAGAACACCGGUGGCGAAGGCGGCUCACUGGUCCGGAACUGACGCUGAGGCACGACAGCGUGGGGAGCAAACAGG